GAACCUUCAGUUGUCCACCGAACACCAAAGACUACUCAGAAAACUACGUCAUCAAUAUAUUUUCAAAGCAGUCCUCUUUAAUAGUAAAUAAAUGAUGUUGGUCAAACAAGUAAUAGCCAUCUUCCCUGAGAACAUCCCCUAUGGCAGUCCGGAGACGUGUAACUCGUCAGGCUCAGUAGCUACGGGGCAGUUGUCUGGACAGGUUACUCGCCAGCUAGAAGCUUGGUAAAUGUGCAACCUUGAAAGUGUCAUAAUUAUGCACAGAUAUGCGCGCUGAGUGUGUGAAAUGUUAUGACGAGGUUAGUAAAAAUGUUUGCCAUCCAAUUUGAGUGUGGGGAGGCAUUAUUUGUCCUGACGAUUUGCUCUCUACCUACGGCCAUUUGGCAGUCCAGAGACGUGUAGCGCCCAAGGCUCAGCAGCUACGGGACAGUUGUCUGGACGAGGUUAUUUUUGACGUGCAGUCCCGAAAGCACAUUGGGAAGCAUGAAUAUAGCCGUUGAAUUCAUCAUAAGUG
rnacentral:lncRNA from 1 species